CGGAUUAUUGGGCGUAAGAGAGGGCAGGCGGUUUUUUAAGUCUGAUGUGAAAGCCCUCGGCUUAACCGAAGAAGCGCAUCGGAAACUGGGAAACUUGAGUGCAGAAGAGGACAGUGGAACUCCAUGUGUAGCGGUGAAAUGCGUAGAUAUAUGGAAGAACACCAGUGGCGAAGGCGGCUGUCUGGUCUGUAACUGACGCUGAGGCUCGAAAGCAUGGGUAGCGAACAGGAUUAGAUACCCUGGUAGUCCAUGCCGUAAACGAUGAAUGCUAGGUGUUGGAGGGUUUCCGCCCUUCAGUGCCGCAGCUAACGCAUUAAGCAUUCCGCCUGGGGAGUACGACCGCAAGGUUGAAACUCAAAGGAAUUGACGGGGGCCCGCACAAGCGGUGGAGCAUGUGGUUUAAUUCGAAGCUACGCGAAGAACCUUACCAGGUCUUGACAUCUUUUGAUCACCUGAGAGAUCAGGUUUCCCCUUCGGGGGCAAAAUGACAGGUGGUGCAUGGUUGUCGUCAGCUCGUGUCGUGAGAUGUUGGGUUAAGUCCCGCAACGAGCGCAACCCUUAUGACUAGUUGCCAGCAUUUAGUUGGGCACUCUAGUAAGACUGCCGGUGACAAACCGGAGGAAGGUGGGGAUGACGUCAAAUCAUCAUGCCCCUUAUGACCUGGGCUACACACGUGCUACAAUGGAUGGUACAACGAGUCGCGAGAUCGCGAGGUCAAGCUAAUCUCUUAAAGCCAUUCUCAGUUCGGACUGUAGGCUGCAACUCGCCUACACGAAGUCGGAAUCGCUAGUAAUCGCGGAUCAGCACGCCGCGGUGGAAUACCUUUCCCGGGGCCUUGUACACACCGGCCGGUCACACCAUGAAGAGUUUGUAACACCCCAAAUCCGGUGGGCGUAACCCUUUUUAGGGGAGGGAGCCCUUCUAAUGGGGACACAUAAUGUAUUAGUGGAGAAGUC
rnacentral:rRNA from 2 species